rnacentral:rRNA from 1 species
CUACGGGUCGCAGCAGUGGGGAAUAUUGCACAAUGGGCGCAAGCCUGAUGCAGCCAUGCCGCGUGUAUGAAGAAGGCCUUCGGGUUGUAAAGUACUUUCAGUCGUGAGGAAGGUGGUGCAGUGAAUAGCUGCAUUAUUUGACGUUAGCGACAGAAGAAGCACCGGCUAACUCCGUGCCAGCAGCCGCGGUAAUACGGAGGGUGCGAGCGUUAAUCGGAAUUACUGGGCGUAAAGCGCAUGCAGGUGGUUUGUUAAGUCAGAUGUGAAAGCCCGGGGCUCAACCUCGGAAGGUCAUUUGAAACUGGCAGGCUAGAGUACUGUAGAGGGGGGUAGAAUUUCAGGUGUAGCGGUGAAAUGCGUAGAGAUCUGAAGGAAUACCGGUGGCGAAGGCAGCCCCCUGGACAGAUACUGACACUCAGAUGCGAAAGCGUGGGGAGCAAACAGGAUUAGAUACCCCCGUAGUC